UCAGACAUGGUGUAGUGGGAACACAGCCCCUAGCAAUAAGAAGGCGUUAAACUUCAGAGGCAGUCCAGGAUUCGAAUCCCUGUGUCCGAG